rnacentral:rRNA from 1 species
AUGCAUCCGGCCGCCGCCGAGAUGCAGCCGCCCGUCGGCUCCCCCACCGCCGCUCCCCAAUCCGAGACCCAGCACCCGCUGUCUACCCCCGAUCCCUCCUCCCCCCCUGCGCCCGCACCGGCGCCGGCCCCGGCCCCCGAGGCGGCGGCCGAUCCGCCCUCGUCCGCGCCCGCCCUGGCGCCGGUGCAGCUGCAGCCGCAGCAGCAGCACAAGACCGUCACGUGGAGCGAGAAGCUCACGUCCGAGUCGCCCACCUACGUGCCGACCGCCGCCUCCGCGGAGGCCAGCCAGUACGUCUCCCGCGGGCCCGCCGCCUCCUCCUCCAAGGGCGCGGUGGAGGCGAUGAAGGACACCCUGUCGAGGUGGGGGAAGUCCAUGGCGGAGACCACCAGCAUGGUCGAGAGCCUCAGCCGCGACACGUGGCAGCACUUCAAGACAGGGCCUAGUUUUACUGAGGCUGCUAUGGGACGGCUUGCUCAAGGAACAAAGGUCUUAGCGGAAGGUGGCUAUGAAAAAAUAUUUAAACAGACGUUCGAGAUUCUGCCGGAUGAGCAGCUGAAAAUGUCUUACGCGUGCUAUCUAUCAACAUCCGCUGGUCCUGUCAUGGGAGUUAUGUACAUUUCUACAGCUAAAAUUGCAUUCUGCAGUGACAAUCCUCUUUCUUACAAGGCGGGAAACAAAACAGAGUGGAGUUACUACAAGGUGGUCAUUCCUCUUCAUCAGCUAAGAACAGCCAAUCCUUCAGUGAGCAAAGUAAAUCCUGCUGAAAAGUAUAUUCAGGUUGUCUCGGUUGAAGGGCAUGAGUUCUGGUUCAUGGGUUUCCUGAUGUACGACAAGGCCGUGUCCAGCCUGCAAGAAGCCCUUGACGGUGCUCGGGAGUUGCAACCAUAG